AUACGGAGGGUGCAAGCGUUAAUCGGAAUUACUGGGCGUAAAGCGCGCGUAGGCGGUUUAGUCAGUCAGAUGUGAAAGCCCCGGGCUCAACCUGGGAACUGCAUUUGAUACUGCUGAACUAGAGUAUGGUAGAGGGAAGUGGAAUUCCGGGUGUAGCGGUGAAAUGCGUAGAUAUCCGGAGGAACACCAGUGGCGAAGGCGACUUCCUGGACCAAUACUGACGCUGAGGUGCGAAAGCGUGGGUAGCAAACAGGAUUAGAUACCCCAGUAGUCC
rnacentral:rRNA from 1 species